rnacentral:lncRNA from 1 species
ACCUAUAGCAGCUGCGGAAAAGUGAGGGAUGCUACCAGUUUCUUUUUCUGCUAUCUUUGUCCCAGAAUGAUGCCUGCCAAAUGUCAGUCUUUUGGAUAUAGAGGGGUCAGGGAGCUGCUUGAGGAGACAGUCUGUAUUUUGUAGGAGCUCAAUUGCUGAGCUGUGAGCUCUGUUGUUCAUUCAGGGCUGAUAGGCUGAAAAAAACCCUUUUUUUCUCAGAUGCUCUGUGGGGGAGAGGUGGGUUGAGGCUUUCCUUGUGAGUUUCCGCCUCGCUGUCCUGCCCAGCUAGGAGGCAGUCAAAUCACUAUUUGCCUGCCGAGGCUCCGCUCUGCUGGUGUGAGGUUCACCCUGUUGCUGUAGUCUCUGCCCUUCUGCUGCGGUCACCGCCCUGUUGCCACGGUCUCCACCCUUUUGCCACGGGCUAUGCCCUGUAGCGGAGUCUCUUUGUUGUACCGGGUUGCUUCGGCAACGGCAGGCUACAUCAGCAAUGGGCGUGUACCUCAGUGGGGGCUGAUUGCCUCAGUAAUGCCAGACGCCCCUCCCCCGUGGAGCUGCGCUUUAAGAAAACCUCCUCAACGGGAGGGUUUGGAAUCGCCGUUUUCUUUGUCACACUGCGCUAGCCCAAAUGCUUUGUCCCUGGGAUUUCCUGGGCUGGCUCACUUCCCAAGUCCUGUUCAGUCUCAAGUUUAGCCCUCUCAGGUCUCAGUUUGUUGGUUCAACAGGGCACCCGUAACAGUGCGCUUUUGUAUGGAGCGCUGUGGAGCGCCUCUGCGCUCCGGCGCGGGCCGGAGCCACACCGGCUGCCGGCUACACCAGCUGAGACCUCUGCCUGGCGUCCCGCGUCUCUUUUAUACCUGGGAAUUUUCCCGUUCUGUGGGCAACUAAGAUUCGUCUGGAAAUGCAUCCCCAACUCACCCUCUCCACGCAUCCGAGUCCAAAUAAAUUAAAGUUGUGAUUUUAAAUAACUGCAAAUCAAUGAUUCCAAAAAUGUUAUCUGUGGCCCAGACCUGGACUCCUGAUGUGUCUGUACAGCUCCAUCUGGAAUCUAACAAGUGUAUCAACUCUUGCUCAUCUGAAACUGAAAUGGAAGACCACAGCCUGGACGACAGCACAUCUGUAACAGCGCGAUUUACUGACAGUUUAAGCCCACUGUUGAGACCUACUGCUAAGAAGAAGUAUGAUUGUUUUAAAAAUAUUGCUGCUCAUCGACAAUUCACCUGGUCACUCGGGAACUUGGAUGGAGAUGUUUAGGGAAAGUAAUGUUUUCAUGUCUGCUAAUACAGUAUCCACUCUCCAGCCCAGGGAUCCAGGAGCAGUUUGACUCUCAAGUCUUACUAUUAAAUGAGAAAUGCAUUUGAUAAAGGUAUAGCUGUCCUAGAUAGUGAUUUCUUUGAUGGACAAAGUGAAUUGAAAACCUUUUGGAAAGGAUUCACCAUUCUAGAUGCCAUUAAGGACAUUUGUAAUUCAUGGGGGGAGGUUGAAAUAUCAACAGUGACAGGCGUUUGGAAGAAGUUGAUUCCAAGCCUCAUGGAUGACUUUGAGGGUUCAGGAUGUCAGUGGAAGGAGUCCCUGCAGAUGUGGUAGAUAGCAAGACAACUAGAAGUAGAAUUAGAGCCUUAAGGUGGGAUGAAAUUGAUGUGAAAUCAUGAUAAAACUUGAACAAAGGGGGAGUUGCUUCUUAUGGAUGAGAAAAGAAAAUAUUUUCUUGAGAGAGAAACUACUCCAGGUUGAGAUGUCAUGAACAUUGUUGAAACGACAACAAAGGGUUAAAAUAUUCCAUAAACCUAGUUGGUAAAGCAGCAACAGGGUUUGAGAAGGUUUACUCCAAUUUUGAAGGAAGUUCUACUAUGGCUAAAAUGCUGUCAAACAGUAUCACAUGCUACAGGGAAAUGUUGUGUGGAAGGAACAGUGUAUCAAUGCAACACACUUCAUUGUCUUAUUUUAAGAAAUUGCCACAGGCACCCCAAUCUUCAGCAGCAGCCAUCAAUAUAGAUGCAAGAUCCUCAC